rnacentral:rRNA from 1 species
UCCUGGGUCCUAUCGGGGCCAACCUCCCACCCGUGCUUACCGUACCCUGUUGCUUCGGCGGGCCCGCCAUUGGCGGCCCGGGGCCUGCCCCCGGGAUCGCGCCCGCCGGAGACCCCAACACGAACACUGUCUGAAAGCGUGCAGUCUGAGUCGAUUGAUACCAAUCAGUUAAAACUUUCAACAAUGGAUCUCUUGGUUCCGGCAUCGAUGAAGAACGCAGCGAAAUGCGAUAACUAAUGUGAAUUGCAGAAUUCAGUGAAUCAUCGAGUCUUUGAACGCACAUUGCGCCCCCUGGUAUUCCGGGGGGCAUGCCUGUCCGAGCGUCAUUUCUCCCCUCAAGCCCGGCUUGUUAUUGGGUCGAGUCCCCCCGGGGGCUGGCCCGUAAAGAAAUGGCGGCACCGUCCGGUCCUCGAGCGUAUGGGGCUCUGUCACCCGCUCUAAGGGCCCGGUCGGGGCUGUAGCCUCACCCCCAAUCUUUUAAGAUUGACCUCGGAUCAGGUAGGGAUACCCGCUGAACUUAAGC